AAAAAUAAACAGCAUUCGUGGGUUAUCCCGACCUCUCUUCCUUGUCGCGUCCUCUUUCGAUACCUCCCGACCGCCUUCCUCUCUCGCGAUUUCUCAGCCCCUCUCUGCCUCUUCCUCCGUCCCUGCGCUUAUCUUCCUCUUCCGAUUGCUCUGCUCGUAUGCAGGUCCUGUGCCUGUUCGCGUUGUCUGGGGAGUAGCGUCCUUCUUCUCCAGGUCGCCCCUGCUGCCUCCCCAGUUACGCCGUAGCGUCCUCGCCUCCUUCACAAUCUGGUCUCACUGGAGGCCGCGAAGACGCCGGCGGUGGCGGGGAUCCCUAUUCAGCCUCCCGGACCGCCGUCCUGAACCCGUGAAUCCCGAGAGAAAUGGCGGCCCUCCCUAACCUAGUGGCGUCUCCCAGACUGCCGUCCAUCUCCUCCCUCCUCUUCCUCCAUGCGCUCAGGUCACCACGGUAGCUGGGCGCGGGCCGCGAUUCGUGACGCUGGGCGUCUGCUUCCAAUUUCUCCCGCGAGAUCGAGUUCUGGAUCCGCUGCUGCUCGGCUUCUUCGGCUACCUCCCAAGCAUCAUCUACGCUGUCUGGCGGACUGGGUCAUCACCAAGUAGAACCAUUACGGCUCCUCUUCCUGUAUAUGCAGGUUUCAGGAAUUUGGGAAAUUUAACCAGCUAAGCUGAUCCAUGUCUCUUGCUUUAGAAUGAUUAUACAGAGCUGCAUAUAAAAGGUAAUUUUAUUUUACCAUCACAUAGGCUUAUGGACUAGAGGUUUUCCAUCAUGCACUGGGAAACAUUUCAAUCCCACCAAAUACGACGGUAACGAGGCCUCCUCGCUGGAACAAUGCACCUUUGGCAUAAUCAUGGCUGCCUUCCUAUGGAUGCGCCUCUUUUUCAAUCCUUGCAUCCAUAAUAUUAUUUGUGUCUAAUUAGUUCUUAUUUGUCUCAACUAGGUUUUGUGAGGCCUGGAGAUGCACACUCCACAUCAGAUUCAAAGUUGAAGCACUGCUUAUUUCCUAGAGACUGGAACAUCUCUUCUGAUAACAAGGUACUAGGAAAUUAGUACUUUCUAUUGCAGCUAUUGUCAACGAUUUUCAUUUUUACUUCUGGAAUGAUAAAUGAUGUGCAUAAGCUUCAAAACUUUCGAUGGAGAGGAAGGGAGGGAGCACAAGAAGCUUUGUGAUUUGUUCUAUAGAUGUUUCGAAGGAGAAGAUUGUGCCCCUCAAGGUUGACCAUAUAUGCAGUUUGGGAUCAUUUCUUGUGGCUAUGUGAUUACAUGUAGAUUUAUGGUGGAAUAUCUAGAUCAAGUAAAUUGUGAUGUUCAAACGAACGGGCCAACACUACAGAGCUUAGUGCUAGGACUGAUUUGUGUUCAAGUAUUGUCGCACCUCUUGGUUUGUGUUCUUGAAGUACAUAGCACAAAAAAAUAAUUCGGUUGGAUGUGUAAGAGCUCAAAGUUUAUGUACAAAUAAAUGUAAUCGAGUAACAGUGACAGUGAGUUCGUACAUGUGUAUGGAAUUAAUAUAAACUAAAGACAAUUGAGUGGCUUAAUCUUUGUUCAGUCCAUGGCCUAUAGUGAAUAAUAUAUUCUUGAAUUACAAAACAAUGAACAGUCCAUGGCAACAUAAAAGUUUGGCUGCAACUGACUUGACCUGUAGGCUGUAGGCAACAUAAAAGGAUGAGGUGGUUAUGUUUUUUUAAAAAGUAGUGAGGCUGUAAUGUUUAAUGGAAGAGAGAUUAGAAAGGAGAAGAAGGUUCAAUGGCUCAGCCUUCGGCAUUCAGGAAAAAAUGCAGCCAAGAAAAUUUUAAAAUUAUUAGAAAGGUAUGCAAGAUUUAGUAGGAAGUUAGAUCUAUGGAAUUAGUUCAUUGGAUUAAACAGAAAUAGGACUAUGCUGUUUAUUUUGGAUGAAAAAUUACUUUGGAGUUUCACAUUCUAUUUUCAGAAUAAGCUCAAAUCAAAGA